UACAGAGGUCUCAAGCGUUGUUCGGAUUCAUUGGGCGUAAAGGGUGCGUAGGCGGCGCGGUAAGUCGGGGGUGAAAUCUCGGAGCUUAACUCCGAAACUGCAUUCGAUACUGCCGUGCUUGAGGACUGGAGAGGAGACUGGAAUUUACGGUGUAGCGGUGAAAUGCGCAGAUAUCGGAGGAACACCAGUAGCGAAGGCGGAUCUCUGGGCCUGUUCUGACGCUGAGGCGCGAAAGCUAAG
rnacentral:rRNA from 1 species